AUUGAACGCUGGCGGCAUGCCUUACACAUGCAAGUCGAACGGCAGCACGAGUGCUUGCACCUGGUGGCGAGUGGCGAACGGGUGAGUAAUACAUCGGAACAUGUCCUGUAGUGGGGGAUAGCCCGGCGAAAGCCGGAUUAAUACCGCAUACGAUCCACGGAUGAAAGCGGGGGACCUUCGGGCCUCGCGCUAUAGGGUUGGCCGAUGGCUGAUUAGCUAGUUGGUGGGGUAAAGGCCUACCAAGGCGACGAUCAGUAGCUGGUCUGAGAGGACGACCAGCCACACUGGGACUGAGACACGGCCCAGACUCCUACGGGAGGCAGCAGUGGGGAAUUUUGGACAAUGGGCGAAAGCCUGAUCCAGCAAUGCCGCGUGUGUGAAGAAGGCCUUCGGGUUGUAAAGCACUUUUGUCCGGAAAGAAAUCCUUGACUCUAAUACAGUCGGGGGAUGACGGUACCGGAAGAAUAAGCACCGGCUAACUACGUG
rnacentral:rRNA from 1 species